GAACGGGUGCGUAACACGUGAACAACCUGCCCUCGUGUGGGGGAUAGCCGGGCUAACGCCCGGGUAAUACCGCAUACGUUCUCGUGGGGGAGUCCCUGCGGGAGGAAAGCUCCGGCGCACGGGGAGGGGUUCGCGGCCUAUCAGCUAGUUGGGGGGGUAACGGCCCACCAAGGCGACGACGGGUAGCUGGUCUGAGAGGAUGGCCAGCCACAUUGGGACUGAGAGACGGCCCAGACUCCUACGGGAGGCAGCAGUGGGGAAUCUUGCGCAAUGGCCGAAAGGCUGACGCAGCGACGCCGCGUGUGGGAGGACGCCUUUCGGGGUGUAAACCACUGUUGCCCGGGACGAACAGCCCUUUUCGAGGGGUCUGACGGUACCGGGUGAGGAAGCACCGGCUAACUCCGUGCCAGCAGCCGCGGUAAUACGGAGGGUGCGAGCGUUGUCCGGAAUCAUUGGGCGUAAAGGGCGCGUAGGUGGCCCGGUCAGCGUGCGGUGAAAGCUCGGGGCUCAACCCCGAGUCGGCCGUGCGAACUGCUGGGCUGGAGCACUGUAGAGGCAGGCGGAAUUCCGGGUGUAGCGGUGGAAUGCGUAGAGAUCCGGAAGAACACCGGUGGCGAAGGCGGCCUGCUGGGCAGUUGCUGACACUGAGGCGCGACAGCGUGGGGAGCAAACAGGAUUAGAUACCCUGGUAGUCCACGCCGUAAACGAUGGGCACUAGGCGCUUGGGGGAGCGACCCUCCGAGGGCCGGCGCUAACGCAUUAAGUGCCCCGCCUGGGGAGUACGGCCGCAAGGCUGAAACUCAAAGGAAUUGACGGAAUCGAAUU
rnacentral:rRNA from 1 species